GGGGAUUUAGCUCAGCAGCAUGAGCGCCUGCUUUGCAAGCAGGUGGUCGUGAGUUCUAUCCCCG
rnacentral:tRNA from 1 species